rnacentral:rRNA from 1 species
UACGUAGGGUGCAAGCGUUGUCCGGAAUUAUUGGGCGUAAAGGGCUCGUAGGCGGUUUGUCGCGUCGGGAGUGAAAACACGGGGCUUAACCCCGUGCCUGCUUCCGAUACGGGCAGACUAGAGGUAUGCAGGGGAGAACGGAAUUCCUGGUGUAGCGGUGAAAUGCGCAGAUAUCAGGAGGAACACCGGUGGCGAAGGCGGUUCUCUGGGCAUUACCUGACGCUGAGGAGCGAAAGUGUGGGGAGCGAACAGG